AUUGAACGCUGGCGGCAGGCCUAACACAUGCAAGUCGAGCGAGCGGCGGACGGGUGAGUAAUGUAUGGGGACUGCCCGAUAGAGGGGGAUAACUACUGGAAACGGUGACUAAUACCGCAUACUAUCGGAUAACCCAUAUGGGAUUAGCUAGUAGGUGGGGUAAAGGCUCACCUAGGCGACGAUCACGAGCUGGUCUGAGAGGAUGAUCAGCCACACUGGGACGGAGACCAGGCCCAGACUGCGACGGAGGCAGCAGUGGGAAAUAUUGCACAAUGGGCGCAAGCCUGAUGCAGCCAUGCGGCGUGUAUGAAGAAGGCCUUAGGGUUGUAAAGUACUUUCAGCGGGGAGGCGGUACCCGCAGAAGAAGCACCGGCUAACUCCGUGCCAGCAGCCGCGGUAAUUC
rnacentral:rRNA from 1 species